UUUAUAAAGGAACUACAGAGCAACCUGGCUGCCAUCAUUGGCUGUGCAGUGUCAAGUCCAGCCAAACACAACCAUGCUGUCAUCACAACUGGAUGUGCUUAAUAAUGCACGUUUAGGAAUUCAGCAGUGCAGCUCACACAAGUAUACAUUGAUAAGACCCAAAUGCAAUAGUGUAACAAAGUCUUGGGACCCUGACGAUCAGAUCACUUUUGACAGCAGUGAUUAAUGUGCCAGAGAGGUGGCAUUUCAUUUCCCCAGCACGGGUGGAUCCUUACAAUCAAAAUAUUGAAGUAUUUAUUGAAGUAUAAAGAAAUUGUGCAAAAAUAUUUUUUUAUAAUGGAUGAAGGAAUAGACUAUAGAAUGGAUGUUUAUAAUUAAAAUUGAGGGAUGUUUACAGUGGUGAGGCAGAGCUGGGGGUGGCCACUGCUCAUGUGGUGAACAGACAGGAUAAAAUAACCUAAAGGUUUGGUUUACCAUCUUUUAUUGGUUUAAACCAGUGUUUCUCAAUCCAGGUCCUGGGGACCCACUGCCCUGCAUGUUUUAGAUGUCUCCCUGCUCCAACACACCUGAUUCAAAUGAAUGGGUCGUCAUCAAGCUCUGCAGAAGCCUUUUAUCGACCCAUUCAUUUGAAUCAGGGAUCAGCCCCAGCAUACCUCUACCAGAUAUUCAAACCCUACAUGCCAGCCAGAUCCCUCCAUUCUGCUACCUCAGGACGCCUAGCACCUCCCCCUCUUCGCACCUGCACUUCCAGAAGACGUCUCCUGUCUGUUCUGGCCCCACGAUGGUGGAAUGACCUCCCUGUGGAGGUCAGAACAGCUGAGACACUGACCCAUUUCAAACGACGACUGAAGACUCACCUCUUCAGGCUGCACCUCUCCCCAUCCCUCCCUACCCCCCUGUAAAUGACUGUAAGCUUAGGGUUGUAACUAGGCAGCUGUUUCGUAGGUGACUUAGGUGCAUUAACUGUCUUAACUACUACUUGUAUUUUUUUCCAUAGACUGCGUUGUUGCCGUUCUCGUUGUUAGUGUUAAUCAGUUUAACCUUCAGGGUCCAAAUUGAAAUAUGCGGUUGUUCCCUGCACUUGGACCGGUACUUCUCUCUAGGGGUUUCGUCAUACUUGUUCCUGGUUAUGGUUAUACACUUUGUUGUACAUCGCUCUGGAUAAGAGCGUCUGCCAAAUGCCUGUAAUGUAAUGUAAUGUGUGUUGGAGCAGGGAGACAUCUAAAACAUGCAGGGCAGAGGGUCCCCAGGACCAGGGUUGAGAAACACUGCUUUAAACCACCAAAGCAACAGAAAUCCGAAAGUAAACAUAAAAAACCAAAUGCCUCAAAGGCAAAGGAACAACAAAAAUCUAACAAACUGGCACCAACCCAACCCAACCCAACCCAACCCAACCACAAAUACCCUAGCUUCCCCAAACACUGUCCAAAAACUCUCCUCCUGGGCCUGACCCAACCAGGCCCUUUUAAUUAGGCCCAAUAAUUAGGUAAUGGGCUGCAGCUAGCUGUAGUGAUAACGAUGUCUCACAGCUGUGGCCGUACCUGUGAGUAGGGCCGAUGCUUCCCUCUUGUGGACAGCACCCCAUUUUCCCUCCUGGCACCACUCAGUAUAGAGUGUGAUCAUAUUUUAAGAGGUAAUUCAUAUCUUGAUUCAUGAGAUUGGGUUGUUUUCCACUGAGUUGGUCAAAUCAAUCUUUUUAAAUUCCCUUGACAAGCUCAUAACUGAAAAAGUUCUAAUCUAAGCAUUAGAGCGAAGGUUAUCAUACGAGUCACCAGAGACCUCCUGGGCUGCAGUCAAGGCCACUGCUUCUUUGAUCUUUCACAGAUGUCUGAAUCUUAAAGAGUAUGUCCUGUUGGUCAGCUUGACAAUUGAUUAACUCACUGGAUAAGAAAGUCAAUCUUAAACACAGAGAAAGCCUUUUUUCCAUUUAAACAUUGCGGAACGCAUUUUUUUUUGUUUUCAGAGUCACUAACCUGACACUGCUGCCAUAUCUAGUUUGUAUGACUGAGUAUUACUACAGUACAAGCAAUAACAUCUAUUAUAAGGCUUUCAUAGGCGAAUGUGGUGACUACAUUUGCUAAAAAUAAAAUAAAAAAAGUUUCAAACAUCAAAGGUUUUUCAAACUGUAAGCAUUACCUUUUUAUUCUCUUUCAACACAUUGUAUGUUACUUUUGGCUUACUUUAUGUUUUAAUAUUCAGUAUUAUCUGAAGAGAGAUUCAUCUACAGCAAAUGCAGCUACAUUGCGCAUAACAGCAUUACAUUGUUUUGUCAAAAACUGCAAUACAGACAUCAAACUUCAUUGAAAAUAAACAUUCCAAUCUAAUAUUAUUUUAUGAAGUUCAUCAUAUUCACUUUUUAGAUUACACAUAUGAUCACUGCUCGAAUGUAUGAUCAUAUGCAUCAAUAUGUAUUACAAACGAUGAGCAAUCACCAAUGAAUUAAACCACAUACAUGCCAUAUCGAUAUGGUAUCAUUAAUUGAUAGAUGAAAAUUCAUUUUUGUUGUAAAGUAGCUAUAUAACUAUAUUUCUUUUCAUUGUAAAUAUCACAUGCACCAAUCUUCAUCAAAAUGUAUAGCAUUUAACCUCCUCUUGUACAAUCAAUUAUGACGCACAUCCGCUUUAGAAACUUCACGUCUACUUUUGGUCAGUACACUACCUCAUAAAUUCAUGCUCGCUUUGUUUGCUUCCUUGUACGUCUGUGACAUUUUGUACAGACUUAGCUUUCAUAUACCGCUAAAUAGUGUUUACAGUAUUUAGGGUUCGUUUGUAUUUUGUGUUCAAUCCGGUUUUUUUUUUGUUUACAAUUGUUGUGCCUAUGUUAGCUCUCCGGGGCGUUUUAGCUACCUUGCUGUUUAGCUAGUCUAGUUGGACGGUAACAGCUGCUCUUUUUUUCAUACCGAUGCCUGGAUGAGCUGCCAAAAAUGAGGGUGACUGAUUUCCAUCGUCUUGAAAGCGACCAGUAAAGCUCCUUCAAUGCUGGAGAAGGGCUUCAGGUUUUGAGCUAAAUCUUCAAUUACGAGGGUUGCCCUGAACCACUCAGACCCAGUCUUCAUGACACAAUGCUGCUCAAGUGGGUUGUUCUAUACCACUUAUCCCUAACCAGUCCAGGCACUGCAGAUGGAAAUGACCUGUUAGCUAAAUCUGCAUGAGAACGACAAGGUUGACGUGUACACAGCUGCAGCUGACAGGCUUCCCGGCGGACUGCAUAUCUCACAUUUCCUUUCUGACGCCAUGCCUGAUUUCUGUGAGGUCUUACUACACCGCUCGAUCGCUGGCAGCGCUAGUCUCGCCAAAGUGCACGUAAGGAUCCCGUCUCUGACACAUUGGGGAUUACGUUUCCUUUUUUUUAAGGAUCUCCUCAUUAACGCCACCGAAUUCCAUUUUUAUCUGCCCACCGCCCUCCCUCUGCCCUUCUUCUACCUUUUCAGUCAUAACUGCUUCCUGAAUAUCUGCUGACAAAGGAUUAUUUAAAAAAAAUCUGCUUACCUUUCCGUCUUUUUGUCGCUGAAAUACACUGUUGGCUUCUAACCCAGUUACCUUCUAUAAACUGUGCCGGAUUCUUGGCAGCGGUGCUUAGUUCAUCUGAGGACAGCGAGGAACUGGAAAAACAGCUAAUGCCUCCCGCAUACUUAUAGGAAUGGCAGCGAUCCAGAAACCCUACCAAUAGUAUAUCAGCAAGUCUGCCACCAAAGAAACAUUUUACAGUGACCAUCGAUGCUGUUUCCCCUUCAUGUAGAUUCAUUCCCCUGAUAUAUUUCUCAAACAAUAUUUUAUAUAAUCCUUUGAUUCUCUCCCAGCCUGCCCUCACCCACCCCCUCCCCUGAAUCACACUGCUGCACAGCUCCUGUUCAACUUGAAUGAACUUGCCAGCGGGCUUCCUGUAUCUCAGCAACAGCCAAGUGACACACAGGAUCACUAUGUUAUCUUGCUUACUGU